UCAAGCUUUUUAUUUUCUUCAAAUUUUUUGUAUCUUUUCAUCUGACCUUAUGUAAACACACAUACAGAAAAAAAUAUUAAAUUGGUCACCCAUAAACUGGCCCAGCACAUUUGAUGAAGGUGACAAAAUAAAUCCUUUUGUUUGGAAUAUACCACAAGAGAUCACUUUACAGGAAAGAGUAAAUAUAUAGGUCAUUUGAAAUGUUUGUACAAACAACCAAUGCUGUUGUUUUUUCUGGUGAGGACAGCAGGACUUCAUUAUUUGUAAUCCACAGAAGACAAUUCACAAAUGUGUACCAUGAUACACAAAUGUCUCACUACCCACAAAUAUGUAUUUUUUAAGUCAUAUCCACAAACAUAUAGAGCGAUUUGCAAAUAUGCAUAACUUACUCUGUAAAUAUGUAUUUUAAUUUCACAUAAUGAUAGAGGUUUUACAAGUGUAAAUAGUUUCACCACAACAAAUACAUGCAAAGUGAUAUUUACGGGUUUGUGGAUCCGUUUUUACACUCAAAAUGGUUUUUGCACAUUUGUGGAUUUUUGUCCAAUUUGUAGGGCAAAAAAUCCACAAAUGUGUACCGUAAUACACAAAUAUCUCACUGUCCACAAACAUGUAAUUUUUUAUUUGUUACGUGUAAAGUCAUAUCCACAAAAAUAUACCAUGAUUUGCAAACAUGCAUAACUUAUUCUGUAAAUCUGUAUUUUAUUUUCACAUGAAAAUGAUGAGGUUUUACGAAUGUAAAUAGUUCACCUCAUUCACCAUUUACCACAAAACUCUGGGUUUUCAGUUCUAGAAAGAGAGGUAACUUAAACUCUGGAUCAGUUACCAUGGUAACUGACUCUGUGAACCUAGGUUUUCUUCAACAAACCCUGAGUUUCUCUGCGUCUCCUCCCUUUUACAGAGUGGCUGUUUCAUGUCCUCUGUAUAUAUCUGCGCUGUAUAUGUAACACUUUCCUGUCAGAGUUGUUAAAGAAAGCUUUGUAAAAGUAUAUGAAAAGCAUAGUAGUUAUGUAUGCUAUAUAUAUAUUUCAGGAAUACUGAAUUUCAGUGAACUUAUAGCAUACUUUUGUCAUAGCUAGUGCCUUGACUCUUGUGUUUUCUUGCCUUCCCUUGUGUCUCCUGUCUUCCUGUCUGUCUCUCUCUCUCUGUGUAUGUGUGUCUGUGCUGUGGCCGUGGUGCUCCUCUCUCUCCUCUCUCUCGCUGCCUGAGUGCCUGCCUGCCUGCACACCUGCCGUCCCUCAGCUCCAGUCCAGCAGCACUUAAACUCCGGCUCUUCUUCCAGUCUUCGCCAGAUCAUUGCUUCUGCCUGUUUGGAUCAUCUCCUGCUGUCAGCCUGCUACUCUCCGCCUGCCACGCUCACUGCUCAGCUCUGCCAUCCGUCAUUUACCCCUAUUGCCCUCCACCUUCACCAGCUGGAACUCUCCCUCACCCUCUCAUCAUACAUUCCAAAACCUUUUACAAAAAGUUCAGAUGGAGAUGAAAAUCACAGAAGACUCGUCAGCGUUGUCCAGCAGCAGUAGAAUGCAGUGUUGAUGGUGGCUUGGAGUCCAGUGAUGGUAACAGGACAGGAGAGAUGAGGCCAAGGUGCUGCUGAGAGGACGGAGAGAAAGAAAUGGAUGAAAGAGUCAGCGAUAUCUUGGAGAAAAUCCACAAUCAGUCAUAUAAUUCCCAUAAUCAUGUAGUAGAAACACACCAGAGACAUCAUGGAUUACAAUGCAUUUAACUUUUACUGUCACUAGAAUAAUGAUCAUUUUACAUUGAGCAGGCCAUCUGUCCUACUUCUGAUUCUAUCAAUUCAAUAGGCUUUAUUGGCCAUGACAUUUGACAUGUGUUGUUAUCACGAUGGAACCAGAACGUUUACUGAUCACCUAACAGCGCUAAAUGUAGGCUAGUGAAAUGAUUGGUACCUCCAGUUGUAGUGUACAUUCACAAUUAUUGUAUCCAAGCUAGCUAGCUUGUUUUCUCCUGUUGUACGAUGACAGUUGUUUAGCCUUCUUCCAGUAGAUUACAGACUGUAGUUCCGUCAGCUCAUGUGAGGGAAUCUCGCCACCUGCUGGAGUAGCUAGUAUCUGCACCUCAAUUUACAGAUUCCUUUUUACAGAUCUGCUGCGGUAUGAAUUGGACAAAAUUUAUUCCACAAAUAAACAGGAGGGAAGUCACAAAUGUUACGUGGCCCGCAAGCUGACAGGAAGCAAUCUACAAAUGUGCAAAACCCGUUUCACGUGUAAAAAAUAGAUCCACAAAUGUGUAAAUAUCAAUUUACAUGUAUAUGUUGUGAUGAAACUAUUUACAUUUGUAAGACCUCUAUAAUUUUCAUGUAAAAUUAAAAUAC